GACAGAGGGUGCAAACGUUGUUCGGAAUUACUGGGCGUAAAGCGCGUGUAGGCUGCUUCGAAAGUCGGAUGUGAAAGCCCUGGGCUCAACCUAGGAAGUGCAUUCGAAACUUCGAAGCUUGAGUUCUGGAGAGGAAGGCGGAAUUCUCGGUGUAGAGGUGAAAUUCGUAGAUAUCGAGAGGAACACCGGUGGCGAAGGCGGCCUUCUGGACAGUGACUGACGCUGAGGCACGAAGGCCAGGGGAGCAAACGGG
rnacentral:rRNA from 1 species